rnacentral:rRNA from 1 species
UACGUAGGGCGCGAGCGUUGUCCGGAAUUAUUGGGCGUAAAGAGCUCGUAGGCGGCUUGUUGCGUCUGCUGUGAAAAUCCCGGGGCUUAACCCCGAGCCUGCAGUGGAUACGGGCAGACUAGAGGUAGGUAGGGGAGAAUGGAAUUCCCGGUGUAGCGGUGAAAUGCGCAGAUAUCGGGAGGAACACCGGUGGCGAAGGCGGUUCUCUGGGCCUUACCUGACGCUGAGGAGCGAAAGCGUGGGGAGCGAACAGGA